UACGAAGGGGGCGAGCGUUGUUCGGAAUUACUGGGCGUAAAGCGUGCGCAGGCGGUUGUGCAAGACAGAUGUGAAAUCCCCGGGCUUAACCUGGGAAUUGCAUUUGUGACUGCAAGGCUUGAGUGCGGCAGAGGAGACUGGAAUUCCUGGUGUAGCAGUGAAAUGCGUAGAUAUCAGGAGGAACACCGGUGGCGAAGGCGGGUCUCUGGGCCGAUACUGACGCUGAGGAGCGAAAGCGUGGGGAGCGAACAGG
rnacentral:rRNA from 1 species